rfam:Leeuwenhoekiella marinoflava DSM 3653 genome assembly, contig: EJ63DRAFT_scaffold00008.8
GGGGUCGAUUUGGUUUUGACAGCGGGUCUAAUUGAGUAGUAAGCACGUCGAGCGCUGGGACACAAGCUCGUAAAUCUCAUGUUUCACACUUUUUAAACGGCGAGAAUAACUACGCCAUGGCUGCAUAAUCCGAAUUACAGUAGGAUUUACUUAAUCUCAUACAAGGUAUGAGACCAUGAUACCUCUGAAAAGCCUUGGUUUACGGCGUUUCGCUUAGAGGUACCGAAAAAGUAAACAUAGCUAUUGCAGGAUCUUGAUGUGAUAGUGAAACUUAAUUGAGAAUAAGGUACCAGUUGGUAGUUGCCGACCGGCUGUUGCUCGAAAAUCAAUUGGCAAAUAAACGUGUAGAAAGCUAUUGAGUUGCCUGUUUGCACGGCGGUUCGAACCCGCCCGACUCCACUU